rnacentral:rRNA from 1 species
CCUACGGGAGGCAGCAGUGGGGAAUCUUGCGCAAUGGGCGAAAGCCUGACGCAGCAACGCCGCGUGCGGGAAGAAGGCCUUCGGGCUGUAAACCGCUUUCAGCAGGAACGAAAAUGACGGUACCUGCAGAAGAAGGAGCGGCCAACUAUGUGCCAGCAGCCGCGGUGAUACAUAGGCUUCAAGCGUUGUCCGGAUUUAUUGGGCGUAAAGAGUUCGUAGGCGGUCAAGUAAGUCGGGUGUGAAAAUUCUGGGCUCAACCCAGAGACGCCACCCGAUACUGCUUAACUUGAGUUCGAUAGGGGAGUGGGGAAUUCCUAGUGUAGCGGUGAAAUGCGCAGAUAUUAGGAGGAACACCGGUGGCGAAGGCGCCACUCUGGAUCGAUACUGACGCUGAGGAACGAAAGCAUGGGUAGCAAACAGGAUUAGAUACCCUGGUAGUCCAUGCCGUAAACGGUGGGCACUAGGUGUGGGUUUCUAUUAACGAAAUCCGCGCCGUCGCUAACGCAUUAAGUGCCCCGCCUGGGGAGUACGGUCGCAGACUAAAACUCAAAGGAAUUGACGGCUGAGCGNGCGAGCGACACGAGGAGAG